UAGGGGCUUCGUCCUCUUGUAUCUGGUUUUUGUCCGGUUUUUUCAAUAAACUGGGCAACUUUAUUUCUUUUAUAAUGAAAUGCAGACCCCUGCCCCUUUUGAGGUGUCCUAAAAAAAAAGAUAAUCAGCUUCAUGGAUCUACGUACGUUAAAAGACUAGCAGAAUUCUGUUCCAUAGAUCCCAUAGGUCUGCGUUAAGCUUGUCUCAAGUUUCAGGUUUCAAAGAGCUGAAGAACGUACCUAUAGCCCAGAGAAAGGAAAAAAAAAGUGUAAUCCUCUUGUGAAGGGAGCUCCUGCGAUGAUGGUAUUCUUAUCAAAACGAAAAUACCAAACAAAUUAACUUCUGAAUGAACCAUCCAUAUUACUAAGGUGUCGAGAUCUUUAUAACUACAAGCACAAUACCCAUGUCGAUGUAGGCUAAAAAGUAUAUUUGUUGUGAUUGCAUAUCAGAUUAAUUCAUACUACUGCUAUCUCAAUGAUGACUAACCGCCGUCAAGAAUUAAAAAUCUAUAAUAUAAGAGUAAAAGUAUCGUGUUUGAUAUGUUUUGACGAAA
rnacentral:lncRNA from 1 species